CGGAGAUAGCUGGUUCUCCCCGAAAUAGCUUUAGGGCUAGCCUCAAGGUGAGAGAUACGGAGGUAGAGCACUGAAUGUCCUAGGGGGUAUUGCACCUACCGAAGACUAUUAAACUCCGAAUGCCGUCAUCUUAUACUUGGGAGUCAGACUGUGGGUGAUAAGAUUCAUAGUCGAAAGGGCAACAGCCCAGAUCGUCAGCUAAGGUCCCUAAAUGUAAGUUAAGUGGUAAAGGAUGUGGGAUUGCACAGACAACCAGGAUGUUGGCUUAGAAGCA
rnacentral:rRNA from 1 species